ACUACGGGAGGCAGCAGUGGGGAAUAUUGCACAAUGGGGGAAACCCUGAUGCAGCGACGCCGCGUGAGUGAAGAAGUAUUUCGGUAUGUAAAGCUCUAUCAGCAGGGAAGAAAAUGACGGUACCUGACUAAGAAGCCCCGGCUAACUACGUGCCAGCAGCCGCGGUAAUAUGUAGGGGGCAAGCGUUAUCCGGCUGUACGGGGUGUAAAGGGAGCGUAGACGGCCAGACAAGUCAGAAGGGAAAGCCCAGGGCUCAACCCUUGGACUGCUUUUGAAACUGCCGGGCUGGAGUGCAGGAGAGGUAAGCGGAAUGUCUAGUGUAGCGGGGAAAUGCGUAGAUAUUAGGAGGAACACCAGUGGCGAAGGCGUAUUGCUAGACUGUAACUGACACUGAGGCACGAAAGCGUGGGGAGCAAACAGGAUUAGAUACCCUAGUAGUC
rnacentral:rRNA from 1 species